UCUCAGUAAAGCAGGAAUGGUGGCCGAGUCACAGAGAAGCAGGCUUGGUAAAGUGCAUGCUGCUGGACAGCCUCACUUGGACAAGACUGCAUCAGGGGCAGAGAGUGCAAGCAAAACUGUAAGGCUGGAUGCAUGAAUGUCACCAAUCAAGAAGAACAAAAAGAAGGACUUCAGACAAAAUCUACAGGAUCCAAUUCUGCAUCCCACAGCACAUUUAGCCAUCAUGCCUCCGUUGUCUCCUCCUGGCUGUGAAAGUUCCUCAGACUUUCCAUAUCUUUCAUGACCUUGACGCUUUUGAGGAGUACAGAUGAGGUAUUUGACCACACCCAUCAUUUGGAUUUGUCCAAUGGUUUCUGAUAAUUAGGCUGAGGUUGAAGAUUUCAGUUAAGAAUACCAUGAGAUGAAGUGUCUUCUCAUCUGAUCACAUGGUAUCAGGUCACACAUGAUGUCAGCAUGCUUCAUUACUGAUGAUGCCAACCUCUACUGCUUGGUGAAGGUGGUACCUCCACCAUAAAGUUCCUAUUUUUGCCUUCUGUAAUUAACAAAUAUUUGGAAGGAGAUAUUCAGAGUUUAUGUGAAUAUCUCAUUUCUCCUUAAACUUUUGCCUACUAACUUUAGCACUCAUUAACGGAUCUCAUCUGCUAUGAUUGUUCCUGUGGUAUUCUAAUAGUAACUUUCUAUUUCCCUCAUUCCUUCUACAUUUAUUAAUCAUUAUUUUUUGGAGGAAAUGCAUAGUUCCUUCUCCCACAUUUAUUUAUUCAAUCAUUUAUUUAUGUCAGUAUGGACACAGUGUCCCAGUGAAACUUUGGGAUGGUUUCCUAACAGUUGGAUUAUUGAAUUAAUGGAUAAAGAAAUGCAAAUGUAAUUUUGUUACAUAUUGCUAUUCUCUUCAUAAGGCUGGGCCAUUUUACAUUCCCACCAGCAACGUAUGAGAGCAGAUUUCCCCACAGCUUUUCCAGCAGAGAUAAUGUCAAACUUUUGGAUCUCUGUCAAGCUAGUAGGUGAGAAAUUCCAUCCAGGGCUAAUUUUAAUGAAAAUUUCUUUCCUUACAUGUGAGGCUGAUCAUGUUUUCAGAUAUUCGAUGUUAUUUACAUUUUCUUUUCCCUGAACCUUUCUUAUCUCUUGUCCAUUUUUCUAAAGGGUUGAUCUUUCUCAUCACUAUUUUUAUAGGCCUUUUAUAAAGAUAUUAAUUUUUUCUAUAUAAAAAAAUAUUUUUAUCAUUUAUCUUUUUACUUAUUUAUGAGCUCUCAGUUUAUAGAUGAAUUCAAUUAUGCUUUCUUCUAGUAUUUGUAAAAUAUUACUGUUUCUAUAUUUAAAUAUCUGAUCCUUUUGAAAUUUUUCUCAUAUAACUUUAUAUGUUAUAGUAAACAGAUUCAAUUUUAUCUUUUUUCAGAUAGCUAUUUAGCUAUCCUGUGUCACUUAUCAAAAAGCCCACCUUUCUCCUACCAACUUGAGACACCAUCUUUAUCAUAUACUAAAUUUCCAUAUGUCAUUGGGUCUAUUCUAAAUUUUCUGUUCGAUUCCAUUAAACCAUCUGUUCAUGCACACUUAGAGAGAUUUCAUAAUAUGUUUUAAUAUCUGGUAGGAUUCUCCUCUUAUGGUUGUUAUUCCCAAGGGUUUCCUAGUUAAUUGUACUUACUCUUCCAAAUGAACUUUAGAAAUCAACUUGAUUAGCUCCAGAAAAAAUCUAAUGGUAUUUAGAUUACAUGUAAUAUGUAAUAGAUCAUAUUACCUUGAUAAAUUAUUGUAUAAAUUACUUUCAGGGGAAUUAACAUCUUUAUGAUAUUGAGUAUUCCCAUUAAUUUCCUCAACUCUAGGUUUAUGUCUCUUUCAGAAGUGUUUUAUAGUCUCCCAUAUUUACAUUUUGGGCAUUUUUUAUAAGGUUUAUGCCUAGAUUUAUCUUGGUUUUGUUUCCUGUAUCAAAUGGGGGUUUUGUUUCCAUUGUAACUGAUUUUAUGUAUGUAUAUAUGUGUGCAUAUAUUAGCAUAUACAUAUUCUUAUAUUUACACAUAUGUGUAUACACAUUCAUAUGUGCAGGUGUACAUGUAUCUACAACUAACUGUUGUAUGUUGAUAUUUUAAUCUGCUGCUUUUUGUUUGUAUUAGCUUUUCAUUCAUUCUUUUGGAUUUUCUGAAAAUAUCAUCCUAUUAUAUGUAUAGAGAGAUACUUUUUAUUUCUUUCCUUCCAGUUCUAGGUCUCCAUCUGCUUUGUCUGGUCUAGCCACACUCACUGAUGCCUCCACAUGCUGUUAAAGAACAGCAGAGCCACCGGGCACUCUUGUCUGCUUCUGACUUCUGUGGAAACACUCUAGUGUUUCCCAGUGAAGUAAGAUGCUGGUGUUUGGAUGACACACAUUUUUUUUUUUAUCUUAAGGAUGUAUCCAUCAAAUUCUAUUUACUCUUUUUCAUCAGUGAACACUGAAUUUUGUCAAAUGUCUUUUCUGCAUCUAUGAAGGUGACUGUUUCAUAUUAUAAUGGAUGUUAACAUGUUACCUUUCCAAGAGACCACUUGUGCCUUGCAUUCCAGAAUAAUCCCCACAAUGUCAUGAUGUAUUAUUUUUUUCAUAUGUUGUGGAUUCUGUUUAAAAAGCCUUCUCCCAACCACUGGAUGCUCUGUAAAGUCCUUAGAUAAAGUGAGGGUGAUUUUUACCCCCAGGAAACACUGAACAUUGGUAAUGUCUGGAGACAUUUUUGGGUAUCUCAACAGGGGAUGGGGUUGGGGGGAUGAUGCUACUA
rnacentral:lncRNA from 10 species